UACGUAGGGUGCAAGCGUUGUCCGGAAUUAUUGGGCGUAAAGGGCGCGUAGGCGGUGCGGUAAGUCUGAUGUGAAAUCUCCGGGCUCAACUCGGAGUCUGCAUCAGAAACUGCCGUGCUCGAGUGUGGGAGAGGCAAGUGGAAUUGCGGGUGUAGCGGAUGAAAUGCGUAGAUAUCCGCAGGAACAUCCGAGGCGAAAGCGGCUGCUGGAUCGCAACUGACGCUGAGGGACGAAAGCUAGGGGAGCAAACAGG
rnacentral:rRNA from 1 species